GUCCACGCCGUAAACGAUGGAUGCUAGCCGUUGGCAGGCUUGCCUGUCAGUGGCGCAGCUAACGCUUUAAGCAUCCCGCCUGGGGAGUACGGUCGCAAGAUUAAAACUCAAAGGAAUUGACGGGGGCCCCGCACAAGCGGUGGAGCAUGUGGUUCAAUUCGAAGCAACGCGAAGAACCUUACCAGCCCUUGACAUCCCGGUCGCGGGAACCAGAGAUGGAUCCCUUCAGUUCGGCUGGACCGGAGACAGGUGCUGCAUGGCUGUCGU
rnacentral:rRNA from 1 species